CGCGUAGGCGGUUUGCUAAGUUGGAUGUGAAAACUCUGGGCUUAACCCAGAGCCUGCAUCCAAAACUGGCAAACUUGAGUACUGGAGGGGAAAGCGGAAUUCCUGGUGUAGCGGUGAAAUGCGUAGAUAUCAGGAGGAACACCGGUGGCGAAGGCGGCUUUCUGGACAGUAACUGACGCUGAGGCGCGAAAGCUAGGGGAGCAAACAGGAUUAGAUACCCUGGUAGUCCUAGCCCUAAACGAUGGAUACUUGGUGUGAGGGGGAUUGAAUCCCUUCGUGCCGUAGCUAACGCAAUAAGUAUCCCGCCUGGGGAGUACGGUCGCAAGGCUGAA
rnacentral:rRNA from 1 species